rnacentral:ncRNA from 1 species
CUGCGUCCCCACGGGUGCCCGAGCACGGGCUGAGAGUGCGCUACAGCUGCGUAUCUACCGUUCGAACCUGUUUGGUUAAUACCUACGAAGGAAGAGAGGAGAGCCUGCCAU